rnacentral:rRNA from 1 species
UACGUAGGGUCCGAGCGUUGUCCGGAGUUACUGGGCGUAAAGCGCGCGCAGGCGGCGGUGCUGGCCCGGCGUGAAAGCCCCCGGCUCAACCGGGGAGGGUCGUCGGGGACCGCACCGCUUGAGGGCGGUAGGGGCUGGUGGAAUGCCUGGUGUAGUGGUGAAAUGCGUAGAGAUCAGGCGGAACACCCGUGGCGAAGGCGGCCAGCUGGGCCAUCCCUGACGCUGAGGCGCGAAGGCGUGGGGAGCGAACGGG